rnacentral:rRNA from 1 species
AACGAACGCUGGCGGCGUGCCUAAUACAUGCAAGUCGAGCGAGAAGCCUCUUCGGAGGUGAGUAAAGCGGCGCACGGGUGAGUAACACGUGGGCAACCUACCCUUGAGUCUGGGAUAACCCGGGGAACUCGGGCUAAUACCAGAUACGGCUGCGGGGUCUUCGGAUCCUGUGGAGAAAGAUGGCCUCUUCAUGAAAGCUAUCUCUCGAGGAUGGGCCCGCGUCCUAUUAGCUAGUUGGUGAGGUAACGGCUCACCAAGGCAAAGAUGGGUAGCUGGUCUGAGAGGAUGGCCAGCCACACUGGAACUGAGACACGGUCCAGACUCCUACGGGUGGCUG